rnacentral:rRNA from 1 species
AUUGAACGCUGGCGGCAGGCCUAACACAUGUACGUCGAGCGAGCGGCGGACGGGUGAGUAAUGUAUGGGGACUGCCCGAUAGAGGGGGAUAACUACUGGAAACGGUGGCUAAUACCGCAUACUAUCGGAUAACCCAUAUGGGAUUAGCGAGUAGGUGGGGUAAAGGCUCACCUAGGCGACGAUCGCUAGCUGGUCUGAGAGGAUGAUCAUCCACACUGGGACUGAGACACGGACCAUAAACCUACGGAGGCAGCAGAGGGGAAUAUUGGACAAGGGGCGAAAGCCUGAUGAAGCCAUGCGGCGUGUAUGAAGAAGGCCGUAGGGUUGUAAAGUACUUUCAGCGGGGAGGCGUUAAACGCAGAAGAAGCAACGGCUAACUCCGUGCCAGCAGCCGCGGUAAUAC